AAAACUAAAUCAGUACCGUGUCACUUUUAAAUAUUAUUAUUUCUUUUUUGUCAACCAUUACAAUUGUAUUUCCAUUGAAAAUCAAAUUAUAAAUAUUGUGUUAAAGUUUUCACAUACAAAAUAAAUAAAAAUGAAGAAAUCUACCUCAGUUUUAAUUGCACUAGUUUUUGUAACCGCAAAAAUAACAGGAGAAGUCAAUACCAAGAACAAUAAGAACAUGAAACAUACUGUACCGAAAAAAUAUGCAAAGAAGAUUUCAAUAAAUGUUAUACAAAUGAUGAUUGUUGCACUAAGAAAUGUAUUACAAAUAAUAAAUUGCAGUUAGGAUUCUGUUACGGAAAUCCUGAUUCGGAAAAAUUAGUUUCACGAAUAUUAAAACAAAAUAAAUGCUUAGUAGACAGUAGUAUAAAUAAAAAACUCGACGAAAAAAUGAAAGAAGAAUACGGAUCAUUGAACGUAGCCUCGGAUAUUUAUCAGGAUGAGACGAUACUUGAACUAACGAUUAAUAACAUAACCGAAAGGGUUAUAAUCAACAAUCUGAAUUCAAAGUCAAAAUCACCAAUAUUGAGGUUAUCUCUAACAGUAGCAAAAAACUUUGUUGUCGAAAAAGAAGGAUUCGUGCCAUGUCACUUUACUUUCUUUUCAAAAGGUUUUCGUGAGGAGAAAUAUCAUUGGAUCUUUUAUUUUAUUUGUUACAUCACUUAUUAUAUAAUAACAUUUAUCACUUAUUUAAUGAUGCCAUAGAUUAAUAUAGAAGCGGCAUUCAAAACUAAAAUUGAAGUGCAAAUAGACUCCUUUUUCAUUGUUAUCAUUUAACCCAAGUUUAAAUAUCGUAACAAUAUUAAUUUGUUCGAAAACAGCAUAUAUGUCUAUAGACAUAAUAAAUAUCAUCUAUUAUUAUGUCUAUGAGAAACAGACUAAUUAUUCAUUAUAAUGUUU